GGGUGGAUUAGUGGCGAACGGGUGAGUAACACGUGAGCAACCUGCCCCUGACUCUGGGAUAAGCGCUGGAAACGGCGUCUAAUACUGGAUAUGUCCCAUCACCGCAUGGUGUGUGGGUGGAAAGAUUUUUCGGUUGGGGAUGGGCUCGCGGCCUAUCAGCUUGUUGGUGAGGUAAUGGCUCACCAAGGCGUCGACGGGUAGCCGGCCUGAGAGGGUGACCGGCCACACUGGGACUGAGACACGGCCCAGACUCCUACGGGAGGCAGCAGUGGGGAAUAUUGCACAAUGGGCGGAAGCCUGAUGCAGCAACGCCGCGUGAGGGAUGACGGCCUUCGGGUUGUAAACCUCUUUUAGCAGGGAAGAAGCGAGAGUGACGGUACCUGCAGAAAAAGCACCGGCUAACUACGUGCCAGCAGCCGCGGUAAUACGUAGGGUGCAAGCGUUAUCCGGAAUUAUUGGGCGUAAAGAGCUCGUAGGCGGUCUGUCGCGUCUGCUGUGAAAUUCCGAGGCUCAACCUCGGGCUUGCAGUGGGUACGGGCAGACUAGAGUGCGGUAGGGGAGAUUGGAAUUCCUGGUGUAGCGGUGGAAUGCGCAGAUAUCAGGAGGAACACCGAUGGCGAAGGCAGAUCUCUGGGCCGUAAC
rnacentral:rRNA from 1 species